UGCAGCCAUGUCAAAUUCGGUCCCUGCGUACCCUGUGGUGCCUCGUGGUGGGAACCAGCUCUGCGACUGCCACAUCACAACUGUAGUUCAUGGGCCCCUGGUUCGCGUAGUUCGCGUAGACAUGUAUAGGGUCUGGACAGAUACGC